UUGACCUCGGAUCAGGUAGGGAUACCCGCUGAACUUAAGCAUAUCAAUAAGCGGAGGAAUA
rnacentral:rRNA from 1 species